rnacentral:rRNA from 1 species
UACGUAGGGUGCAAGCGUUAAUCGGAAUUACUGGGCGUAAAGCGUGCGCAGGCGGCUUUGCAAGACAGAUGUGAAAUCCCCGGGCUUAACCUGGGAACUGCAUUUGUGACUGCAUGGCUGGAGUGCGGCAGAGGGGGAUGGAAUUCCGCGUGUAGCAGUGAAAUGCGUAGAUAUGCGGAGGAACACCGAUGGCGAAGGCAAUCCCCUGGGCCUUCACUGACGCUCAUGCACGAAAGCGUGGGGAGCAAACAGG